AAAGUAAUUUUAAUCAUACAAACUACUAUAUCAUAACUCUUACAAUAUAGAGAUUAUGCAUGAUCAAUGCAUAACCUAUGGUGGGAUUUCAACUAUAUGGCAUACCAUAUGACAUAUAAUCAAACAUACAUCUUAUAUACAAUCACAAAAACUAAUGGACCGGGAUGAUUAGCUUCAAAAAUUGAAAAUUAAAUUCUAUCUAUUACAUAAAACCAUUGACCGGUUCACAACCGAAUCGAGUCUUGAACCGCCCAGGCGAAGUCUUCUUUCUAAUCAUUUAGUAAAGUAGGUCGAGUAGCCACGAUCGAGUACCUUUGACUAUGCGAUGAAGCAUGAAGGUUACUUAAUUGUGCUGCACACCAAUUUUAAACGCAAGUCUAAACGAUUGUGUAGAUGACUACUAUGCAAUGACGCAUGAUCAAAGAACAAGCGCUAAGUAACAUUUACCCCGCGAUCGUGUAGUUAGUGACUAUGUGAUGAAACAUGCUGAGCUUCACGAUCGUAUAUAAAUUAUUAUGCAUACUUUGCCCAAUUUCUGUACGAAUGGUCAAAACAUAUGGCGGACGAUGAGUUCUCUCAUAUGUUUUCACAUUGGUGAGUGGCAUCUUCUUGACAGGGUGAUGAGACAAUUCAGUUUUCAGCAGGACGUCCAUCGCCUUGUAAUAUUGAACUCUUACUGCAUGAUAUUGACUUAAGGACUGUAAAUUGGUCCAAAAAAGCUGCACAUUUGUAGCGGGGGUUUCUAUUGAACAAUUUGACAGGAUUGUCACUCAAGAAUACAUUCAUUGGUAUUAAAUAUCACAAAGCGCUACGUCACUCGUCCAGGAGCAGCUGUGGGUCAUCUAGUAAAUGAAUGAAUGAUAUUGAUUUAAGGACUGUAAAUUGGUCCGAAAAAGUUGUACAUUUGGUAGUGCGAUAGCACUAUCGUGCAAGGUUUAUUGCAGCGAGGGUUUUUAUUGAACAGUUUGACAGGAAUGUUACUGAAGACUACAUUCAUUGGUAUAAUAAUAUCACAAAGCGCUACGUCACUCGUCCGGGAGCAGCUGUGGGUCAUCUGAGAUCAAACAACAAUAGACUCCGUGAUGUUGCAAAUGAUCCGAACCAGGUUCUUGUUAUAUGUAGUGACAACCAGAGCUAUAUAGAAGAGAUACAUUAUAUGUACGAUAUACCUAUUGUUCCUCUACCAGAUCCUAGACGUAGAAGACCUGUUCGGAAAGAUGAUGAGUUUGAUGAGAUUGCCCAUAAUGUGGAAGAGUUGCCCUCUGUGAUGCAGAUGCAGAGUCAAACUGAUUAUGUUAAUCCGAUGAUGAUGCCAGCAUUUGAUUCAGGAUAUUAUGACUCAUAGGUUGGUCUUUCGUCUUCAUACGUGUAUGGACAUGGUCGGGGUCGUAGAGAGUAUAAUGAAUAUUUAUAUUAUGAAACGCUUGCAGAGUUACCAGAGCAACAUCAAGAAGAACCAGAGCAACCUCAAGUUCGAAG